UACAGAGGCCCCAAGCAUUAUCCGGAAUCACUGGGCGUAAAGGGUGUGUAGGCGGUCGUGUUAGUCUUUUGUUAAAGUUCUUCGGCUUAACCGAGGAAAUGCAGAGGAAACGGCACGACUUAGAGGUUGCGAGAGGUAAAGGGAACUCAUAGUGUAGGGGUGAAAUCCGUUGAUAUUAUGGGGAACACCAAAUGCGAAGGCACUUUACUGGCGCACACCUGACGCUGAGACACGAAAGCGUGGGAAUCGAACGGG
rnacentral:rRNA from 1 species